rnacentral:rRNA from 1 species
UCGAGGGGAAACGACAUCGAAAGCUUGCUUUUGAUGGGCGUCGACCGGCGCACGGGUGAGUAACGCGUAUCCAACCUGCCCAUCACUUUGGGAAUAAACCUUGCGAAAGUAAGACUAAUACCCAAUGAUAUCCCACGAAGGCAUCCGAAUGGGAUUAAAGAUUUAUCGGUGAUGGAUGGGGAUGCGUCUGAUUAGCUUGUUGGCGGGGUAACGGCCCACCAAGGCGACGAUCAGGUAGGGGUUCUGAGAGGAACGGUCCCCCACAUUGGAACUGAGACACGGUCCAAACUCC